rnacentral:rRNA from 1 species
GACGCACGCUGGCGGCGUGCUUAACACAUGCAAGUCGAACGACGUGGCGAACGGGUGCGUAACGCGUAAUCAACCUGCCCUUCAGAGGGGGACAACAGUUGGAAACGACUGCUAAUACCGCCUACUGAAGGCGGGGAUUGCGUCUGAUUAGCUAGUUGGAGGGGUAACGGCCCACCAAAGCGAUGAUCAGUAGCCGGGCUGAGAGGAGGAACGGCCACAUUGGGACUGAGACACGGCCCAGACUCCUACGGGAGGCAGCAGGGGGGAAUAGUGCGCAAUGGACGAAAGUCUGACGGAGCAACGCCGCGUGAGUGAUGACGGCCUUCGGGGUGUAAAGCUCUGUUAAUCGGGACGCGGUACCGGAAUAGAAAGCCACGGCUAACUACGUGCCAGCAGCCGCGGUAAUUC